CUUAAUUUAGAAUAUCUAAUUAUUUAUGUUAUUUUGUGACCAAAAUUUAUUGUCAUUUUGUUACUUAGGGUUUCUUAAAUGUUUAAAUCCAUUUAAAUGUCCAUUUUAUAUAAAUGUCUAGAAGCUGCAGAAUCUGCUUGAUUUCUGUUGUCAAUCUGUCAGCAGAUUAUGUUAGCAGACUCUGCUUGGUUUCUGCCAAUCUGCCGCCAAGUUAUGUCAACAAAGUCUAUUCAAAUUUUUCUGCCAAUGUCGACUUAUUAUAUUAACAGAUACUGCCGGCAAAACAUUAGCUGAAUGGAAAUGCAGUUAAUGUCAGUUUGCUAACAGAUUUUGAUUAAAUCUGCUACCAAUCUGUCGUCAUACUGCUAACAUUUUGCUUAAGGGGAAGAUAAUAGCAUAUUAUCUCUUCUUCGACCACAUCCCUGUUUUUAUAAAUUACCAAGAACGCUUCUCGAUACACCUCGUAGACAUGCUGUUGUUUCUAAUGUAGAACCAGGAGAAUAUAUUCAUUUUGAUGUUAAAGCAGGAAUGUUGCCUUUUUCCAACAACACAUCGAUGGAUGAUAGCAACAGUGAUGGAGAAAAUAAUUUGGAAACGUUGCAAUAUAUUGUCGCUAUUAUUAUACACAGCGAGAAAAUGGACUUACAGAUAGGCCGAAGCGCAAUAUUUCUAAACCGUUGUGUUAUCACACAACUUCUUCAGACGAAAGUCCGAAACGAAGAAAUAUCGCAUCAAUUACAGAGAUUGAUAUCGACAAGGACAUCGACAAUUUAAGAAAAAUUGGAUAAAAUAUAACGAAAUUAAUUAUUUUUUUCUUCGAUUACAUACACUACAAAACCAAACAUCAUACAUACGCGCAAGCAUUUUCAAAAAAACAAAUGAACUACACACAAAUGUUGAGUCAUACACAGAAAUUUAACUAUCAAAAAAUAUUUCAUAUAACAAAUAAUAAUCACGCACACACAGAUAUUCAAUCACAUACGAACAUUGAAGCACAUGAUAUAAACAGUCAAACAUAUAUAGAUUUUCAAUCAUACAAUAGCGUACAAUACAAAUAAUCAAACACACAGAGGUAUUCAACUGCACACAAGCAUUCAAUCAUAACACAAUAAUCAAACACACAGAGGUAUUCAACUGCACACAAGCAUUCAAUCAUGCAGCAUAAAUAAUAAAGCACACACAGACAUAUUCUGCAUAUAAGCAGCCAAACAUGUACUACAAACAAUCGAGCACACAUAAACAUUCAACCGCACACAAUUAUUCACACCCAACAAAUUCAUCACAUACAUCUCAAAACACUUGUGCUGCCAAUGUGUCGCAGGUGUCACAUACGUUACACACAUAUUCUUCCACACACAAUAACACAUCAAACAUAGACAGUAGAAAAACUAUGUACACUAAUGAUAUGUUCUUCGAGUUACAGGAUAAUUUGGCAAACAUCUCCCCAGGACAGUAUAUAGUCAAAGAAGAUAGGUUCAACAAGGAUCGGCUCAUGGUCAGCAUAUCUUAACACACGCUGAAACAAGAGACAAUGGGUAAAUUCAAAUAUUUGUACAAAAUAAAUAAUAUGAAUUUAAUAAAAAUACUGAUUCUAUAUAAUAUUAAAAGUAACAGUCUUAUCUGUUUAAAGUUACCUGUAAAUGUUAUUUAAUCUUUGCAAAAGAAUGGAUAGCUGCAUGGAAGACAUAGAGGAAGAGCUGAAGUAAAUGUCAAAUAUGUAUCGUAUUUAUUAAUAUGUGACAUAUCUCUAUUAUGACAUUCUUGUAAUAUUGGUUUGUUUGUAGACGAAUAAAUACUGUUAUGGAAAAAAUAUUAAAAUGUAUGCAGCAUCGUCGUCAACCAAUACAUAAGCCAGCUAUCCUCCCCAUAUCAUCUAUAACAGAAAUGAAUACAUUUGAAAGGACGAGGGACAUUAUUCUGACGUCAUAAGUGAAACGUGUAUACUUUUUAUAAUUUUUAUAUAAUAUAUUUAUUUUUAUUAAUAAUUUUUACUUACUUUGUGUAGGUCAAUUAUUUGAGUUAUAUCGGCGGUUUUAAUUUAAAAGAGAUCAUAAACUUUUGUUUUAAGGAAGCUGUUAAAGAUUCUUUAACACCAUUGUUUACUUGGUAUGACCGCGGCGAGGAAGGAUGAUCCUUAUAUAAUGCUCGUCUCAUACUCAUCUAUGGCGAUUUACGGUGCAAUUUUUCUAUUUAUGUACACAUAUAAUUGUUAUAACAUAGUCCCAUUAAUAAUAAUGUAUCUUGCGUUUUUUGUUUUUUUUAGAGGCUAUAUGUUCUAACCAGCACUUCGAGAAACCGACUCGAUCGGAGUUUCAGCAACAUUUUAGAGAAACUCUCCGUACAGCAAAAGAACGACUGAGGCACAGAAUGCGAGAUCCACGCACGCGGCCAAUCAAUCGCGAGAGGAUUAACCGCGACUUAUGGAAUGAUGAGCAGCCGGAUAAUGUCGUUGAGUAAGGACUAACGAGGAACCACGAGGAAAAUUAAAAAAUACUUCGCAUUUUAUUUGUACAGAUGUCCGCAGCAGAAGGAAUCGGCAUGAAAGAGAGAAGAAAGAAGAAACCAAUCGGCACUUUUCAGUGCAACUUUAAAUAUUUUCGUUGGAUCAUUUUGGAUAAUCGGCACUUUUCAGUGCCACUUUAAAUAAUUUCAUUGGAUCAUUUCGGAUAAUCGGCACUUUUCCGCAUUUUUCGAAAAUAUAUCCGUACAGGCCAUUUCAAGAUAUAAGUAAUAUUAAAAUUAUUCUUAUUAUUCUAUAUUAAAUAUUGUAUAAUUUAUUGUUAUUUAUUAUUUUUAUUAUUAUUAUUUUUAUUGUGUUAACUUAUUUAUUGUAUUAACUUAUAUAAUUAUUAUAUAUUGCAUUUAAUUAUUCGCGAUUGAUAUAAAUAUUGCGCUGUAUGAAGAU